rnacentral:rRNA from 1 species
UGAAUACGAGAUGCUACGGCGUCGAAGCAGUGUAUGUCAGACUUCCAAGAAAAGCUCGCAAUGUCAUAAAUAAAGAAUGCCUGUACCAUAACCGACACAGGUGGGUAGGUAGAGUAUACUAAGGGGCGCGAGAUAACUCUCUCUAAGGAACUCGGCAAAAUAACUCCGUAACUUCGGGAGAAGGAGUGCCUUCUAUUAGAAGGUUGCAAUAACAAGAUCCAAGCAACUGUUUAUCAAAAACACAGGUCUCCGCUAAGUCGUAAGACGAUGUAUGGGGGCUGACGCCUGCCCAGUGCCAGAAGGUUAAAGAAGUUGGUUAGCUUUGGCGAAGCUGAUGACUGAAGCCCUGGUGAACGGCGGCCGUAACUAUAACGGUCCUAAGGUAGCGAAAUUCCUUGUCGGGUAAGUUCCGACCCGCACGAAAGGCGUAAUGAUUUGGAUACUGUCUCGGAGAGGGACUCGGUGAAAUAGACUUGUCUGUGAAGAUGCGGACUACCUGCACCAGGACAGAAAGACCCUAUGAAGCUUUACUGUAACUUGAAAUUGAAAUUGGACUUUAUUUGCGCAGCAUAGGUGGAAGGCAUUGAGAUUACUCUUGCGGGAGUAGUAGAGCCAUCAGUGAGAUACCACUCCUAUAAUGUUAGAUUUCUAACUUUGGAUCAUGAUCUGGUCAAAGAACAGUUUCAGGCGGGCAGUUUGACUGGGGCGGUCGCCUCCCAAAUGGUAACGGAGGCGUACAAAGGUUUCCUCUGAACGGGUAGAAAUCGUAUCUAGAGUGUAAAGGCAUAAGGAAGCUUGACUGUGAGACCUACAAGUCGAGCAGGGACGAAAGUCGGUCUUAGUGAUCUGACGGUGCUGAGUGGAAAGGCCGUCACUCAACGGAUAAAAGUUACUCUAGGAUAACAGGCUGAUCUCCCCCAAGAGUUCACAUCGACGGGGAGGUUUGGCACCUCGAUGUCGGCUCAUCGCAUCCUGGGGCGGUAGUACGUCCCAAGGGUUGGGCUGUUCGCCCAUGAAAGCGGUACGCGAGCUGGGUUCAGAACGUCGUGAGACAGUUCGGUCCAUAUCCGGUGUAGGCGUUAGAAUAUUGAGAGGAGCCUUCUUAGUACGAGAGGACCGAGAAGGACAUACCUCUGGUGUACCAGUUAUCGUGCCAACGGUAAACGCUGGGUAGCUAUGUAUGGAGAGGAUAACCGCUGAAAGCAUCUAAGUGGGAAGCCCACCUCAAGAUGAGUAUUCUCAUC